AUUGACAUCAGCAUGUAUACUGCCGUUGUAAGCACACCUCUAAAAGAACAAGUGUGCCACCAUGACUACAACUCAUAUACAUCAGGUCAAAGUGCAGCUAAUAAGAAGGUGAUGAUGGGUUACAACCCUAAAAUAGAAUAUCAAUAAAGAAAUAAAAAAUCUUAAGAAAGUGGACUUGGUUGUAAUCAAUUUAUAACAUAUAAAGAUGAAUAAUAAUCUAAGACAUGCACACAUCGCCCGUCACUCUAUCCUAAAGGAUAGAUAAGUCGUAACAAAGUAGGUGUAAUGGAAAUUGUACCUGUCGAAGUAUAGCAUAUAUAAUGCUUUUUACUUACACUAAAAAAAAAGUUAAUAUAACUUACCUCGCCCGUGUAACACAACCCUAUAAAUAACAUAUAAUAAAAACAAUUAAACAUACAUAGAAUAACAAAGUACAGAAAUGGAAACAAUAAUAAAUAAUAGUAAAUUUUAAAAACUAUACCUUGUGCAUUAUGGUUUUACAAGAAAACAAUUAAAAAUAUAAAUCCCGAAUUCUUUAUGAGAUGUUAGACUGCUGUUAAGAACCCAUUAGUAACUGUAGAAAAAGGUUUAAAAGACAGUAUAACAGAGGCUACAUACCAUACGCAUAAGAAAAUAGCUGGUUUUCAACAAAUAUUAUACAUUAAAACAUAUAAAUAUAUUAUAGUGUAACAUUAUUGAGGACAAGCCCAAUAAUUCAAACAAUAUUGACAAAUAUCCAUCACACACAAUAGGCCUAAUAUCAGCCAACAACAAUACUUUACCGUAAUACACGUGGAUAUAAUUUAUAUAUUAAUAUGUCAAAACAAGUUGAAAUGAUAAAUAAACUGCCUUAUUUAUCUAUAUUAUGUAAAAAUAAGUAUUAUAAAUUAUAAAUAUAAUUAGCAAGCAAUUAACAACAAUAAAAAAAUCAUAAUUAAUUAAGGAACUCGGCAAACCACUAUUUCGACUGUUUAACAAAAACAUUGUCCCAUGAACAAAAUAUGGGAUAA
rnacentral:rRNA from 1 species